rnacentral:rRNA from 1 species
GUCCAUGCCGUAAACGAUGAUUACUCGACGUUAGGAUUUAUUUUCUAGUGUUCAAGCGAAAGUGAUAAGUAAUCCACCUGGGGAGUACGCUCGCAAGGGUGAAACUCAAAGGAAUUGACGGGGGCCCGCACAAGCGGUGGAGCAUGUGGUUUAAUUCGAUGGUACGCGAGGAACCUUACCAGAGCUUGAAAGUUAGUGCCCGAAUAUGAAAGUAUUUUUUCUAGCAAUAGACACGAAACUAGGUGCUGCAUGGUUGUCGU